CCUACGGGAGGCAGCAGUGGGGAAUUUUGGACAAUGGGCGAAAGCCUGAUCCAGCCAUGCCGCGUGAGUGAAGAAGGCCUUCGGGUUGUAAAGCUCCUUUAGUCGGAAAGAAAGAGUUGCAAUGAAUAAUUGUGAUUUAUGACGGUACCGACAGAAAAAGCACCGGCUAACUACGUGCCAGCAGCCGCGGUAAUACGUAGGGUGCGAGCGUUAAUCGGAAUUACUGGGCGUAAAGGGUGCGCAGGCGGUCUUGCAAGUCAGAUGUGAAAGCCCCGGGCUUAACCUGGGAAUUGCGUUUGAAACUACAAGGCUAGAGUGCAGCAGAGGGGAGUGGAAUUCCAUGUGUAGCAGUGAAAUGCGUAGAGAUGUGGAAGAACACCGAUGGCGAAGGCAGCUCCCUGGGUUGACACUGACGCUCAUGCACGAAAGCGUGGGGAGCAAACAGGAUUAGAUACCCUGGUAGUCCACGCCCUAAACGAUGUCAACUGGUUGUCGGAUCUAAUUAAGGAUUUGGUAACGUAGCUAACGCGUGAAGUUGACCGCCUGGGGAGUACGGUCGCAAGAUUAAAACUCAAAGGAAUUGACGG
rnacentral:rRNA from 1 species